GUGAAUCAUCAAAUUUUUGAACGCAAAUUGCGCUUCCUAGCAUCCCGGGAAGUAUGCCUGUUUGAGGGUCAGUAUUAACAAAAAAAUCGGUUUGGUUGCAAAUUGUGACGUUUCCGGAGUUUGGGCUAUCUUAACUUUUUUGGUUAAGGGGCUUAAAAUUGACUUUUUUUGCGCAUUUUAGAUGUACAUAAAUUCUUUUUUUUUUUCGUUUUGCUUUAUUCUCCAAAUCCUAUUUGAUUGCA
rnacentral:misc_RNA from 1 species